rnacentral:rRNA from 1 species
UGGGGGAUAUUGCACAAUGGGCGAAAGCCUGAUGCAGCGACGCCGCGUGGGGGAUGAAGGCCUUCGGGUUGUAAACUUCUUUUGCUCUGAACAAGGCAUGCUAAUGGGUGUGUUGAGUGUAGGGGUUGAUUAGCGCCGGCUAACUACGUGCCAGCAGCCGCGGUAAUACGUAGGGCGCGAGCGUUGUCCGGAAUUAUUGGGCGUAAAGGGCUUGUAGGUGGCUGGUUGCGUCUGUCGUGAAAGCUCAUGGCUUAACUGUGGGUUUGCGGUGGGGACGGGCUGGCUUGAGUGCAGUAGGAGAGGCUGGAAUUCCUGGUGUAGCGGUGGAAUGCGCAGAUAUCAGGAGGAAUACCGGUGGCGAAGGCGGGUCUCUGGGCUGUUACUGACACUGAGGAGCGAAAGCAUGGGGAGCGAACAGG